AGAGUUUGAUCCUGGCUCAGAUUGAACGCUGAUGCUUUACACAUGCAAGUCGAACGGCAGCACGGGCUUCGGCCUGGUGGCGAGUGGCGAACGGGUGAGUAAUGCAUCGGAACGUACCGUGUAAUGGGGGAUAACGUAGCGAAAGUUACGCUAAUACCGCAUACGCCCUGAGGGGGAAAGCGGGGGAUCAAGACCUCGCGUUAUACGAGCGGCCGAUGUCGGAUUAGCUAGUUGGUGGGGUAAAGGCCUACCAAGGCGACGAUCCGUAGCGGGUCUGAGAGGAUGAUCCGCCACACUGGGACUGCCUACCAAGGCGACGAUCCGUAGCGGGUCUGAGAGGAUGAUCCGCCACACUGGGACUGCCUACCAAGGCGACGAUCCGUAGCGGGUCUGAGAGGAUGAUCCGCCACACUGGGACUGAACACGGCCCAGACUCCUACGGGAGGCAGCAGUGGGGAAUUUUGGACAAUGGGCGCAAGCCUGAUCCAGCCAUGCCGCGUGAGUGAAGAAGGCCUUCGGGUUGUAAAGCUCUUUCAGACGGAAAGAAAUCGCGCGCUCUAACAUAGCGCGUGGAUGACGGUACCGUAAGAAGAAGCACCGGCUAACUACGUGCCAGCAGCCGCGGUAAUACGUAGGGUGCGAGCGUUGAACGGAAUUACUGGGCGUAAAGCGUGCGCAGGCGGUGAUGUAAGACAGAUGUGAAAUCCCCGGGCUCAACCUGGGAACUGCGUUUGUGACUGCAUCACUCGAGUACGGCAGAGGGAGGUGGAAUUCCGCGUGUAGCAGUGAAAUGCGUAGAGAUGCGGAGGAACACCGAUGGCGAAGGCAGCCUCCUGGGCCAGUACUGACGCUCAUGCACGAAAGCGUGGGGAGCAAACAGGAUUAGAUACCCUGGUAGUCCACGCCCUAAACGAUGUCAACUAGUUGUUCGGUGAGGAGACUCAUUGAGUAACGCAGCUAACGCGUGAAGUUGACCGCCUGGGGAGUACGGCCGCAAGGUAAAACUCAAAGGAAUUGACGGGGACCCGCACAAGCGGUGGAUGAUGUGAUAUUCGAUGCACGCGAAAA
rnacentral:rRNA from 1 species